AUUGGCUACCCUUUCAUAUCCAUAAGAUAAUUAAAACGAAGGAGGAUUUUUUUAAACUUUUUUUUUAAUCAGCCAAUGGUUAAUGCAAGAGUUUAGCAGAUGCUUUGCUAUAAAAAAAAUCUUAAAAAUCUUCUAAACUAACCGGAUCUUCUCAAACCAGGGAACACCAAGACCCCCAAAUGGUUUUCCUCCAGCUUGCGGAAUCUUAAAAACCCGGCACCUCGUUCCCUCCGAAUCAGUGGUGUGGCCGAUAUCGGUUUUCUGCUAUUUUAACUAGCCUGUUUGGGACCCUCAUGGCGAAGCUGGCCGAACUUAAAGCGAGGGCACCGUGGCGAGGCUAACAGGAGGUUUAGGUUCACCCUACCUACUCCGGCACGGCGUUGGGUUUCCAGCUGAUUUGACUUCCACUUGAGCAUCGAAAGGAAGGAGCCACCAACUCCAGAUCACCUUUCCCAGAUUCCCGGAUAAUGCCAGAUGGCCUAGGUACUACUCAGUUCCCCAAGUGGAUACACCAGCACUUAAUGUGAAGCAUUACUUCAUAGCAGUUAUUAUCUCAGUAUCCACCUUUUCCCACCCAGACCAUGGUCAUCAGAAAUCUGGAGGAAGACUGCCAUCUUGGAUGCAUGUGAAUCAGGCAAGAAAAAGCUCGGAUAAUUCAAAAUAAACUGGACCACAAAGAGGAAUCAAAAGAAUCAGGCCAGAUGGACCAUAAAUUCAUGUUUUGUGUUGAUGGGAUUACAUCUCAAUUUCCUUUGUCAUCUUUUCCAAAUCUAAUUUCAAAUUUUCCAAACCAUCACAUGAGAAACGACUUUGACCUUGCUUUCAAGCUUCCAUAAUGUCUUAGGAUAAAGUGGACUCUAAGAAACUUCUCUGAUUAAGCAUGAAACUGGGGAGCUGUGUGGAGAACACAAACUGUUCUGUAAAGAGAUGGGAUAUUUGGGUUUCAGGCUUCAGAAGCAUUGCUCAGAUGACAUGGAACCACUCAGGUGGUUGCUUACCAACUAGGUCUUUCUCUGUCUCUGUUUCUCUAUGUUUCUUCUUUCUCAUGAAAAUUGACUUAAUAGCUACUAACUGCCAAUACCACAGUUCUGAGACUUUUAGGGAAUUUGAAACAGUGAAAACUUGUCUAAAGAAAAGCUAGUUAUCAUCUCUGCACUGGUUGUUUUUUCCCCAUUUUUUAAAUGGAAAUGAUCACAGGUAGAAACUAAAUUAGUUUUAUUUUGUUAUCUUUUUACUGCCACUCUAAGAAUCAGGCCUCUCUUUCAAGACUGGGAGGGGGUAAUUUAUGUAACUACCAUUGUUUUAUUCCAUUUUAAGCAAGAUAGCUUGUUUCCCCCCUAUAUUUGGAGGGUGGAGUGUAUAUUAACAGAACAAGGACUAGAGGUAGGUAAGUUCUGUGACUGCCUAGGGCUCAGCAGGCAGAGGAGCAUAAAGAGGAAUGCCAUUUUAUAUGACUUUUAAAAUGCAUAUAAUUUUAAUACCAGAAAAUUUCACUGCCAACGACACCUGGAUUUUUACUUUGUGUUAAAUCAAGUUUCCUACGCUAGACUGAAGAUCUUAUGAUCAACAGUUACAUACAGGGGGCGCAGUUUUCAAACCAAGGUUUGCUACUGAUGGGUGGAGUAAUUUUUGUAAGAUAUCCAAGUUCCACAAAUGUCCAAGCGUGGUUCUGAGCUGGAGAGUGGGAGUGCAUGGGGGGUGGGGAUGGGUAAGACUGAGGGUAAUAGUAGAAAGGCCCCUCCCUCCUCUUUCCCCCAGUGUUCUGACUUGUCCAUAGAGAGGGAGCUUUCCUUGGGUGGGUGUCAGUGGCAUUGAUAGAAUGGGGGCAGACGUAGGUCCUUCAAUUCAUUUCUGUUCCUGAAACUUUAAACUCAUUAUAGGAGUCAUCGAUUACUUUGAGUUUAAAUUCCUUUCCUCCAGAUUAUCUCUGAGGUCUGUGCUUUCCCGCAGUGUUUGGAUUUGUAGAGUCCAGCCAGUCAUAGAACCUGAGGCUGAAUGUACCCAAGUGAGAAGCAAUAGAGUCAUUAUUUAAAACAAAAAAAAAUCAAAGAAUUAUCUUAAUAUAAAUUCUCCUUCUGAAGAUUUCCCUUCCACCUUCUACGAAUGCUAAAAAUUAGACCACCAGACAAUCUUAAACACACACUUUUGCUAGGGGUAGAUCUUUUUAAGAGAGGAGAGAAAUGCCUCAAAUUUCUUUCGUUUGUGCUAGGGAAAAUAAGGCCCAUGGCGACCAGAGAGGACGGGUCUACACUGACUUUAACAAGGGGUAAGCAAUGUGAUCUUUCCUACACCUCUGUAGGUACUCUCUAGAGCGAAUGAAAACGUAACUGAAGUAAACUGACAUUUUUGCUACUUACACCCUUCAAGGGCUUGCCCACUCUGGUUUGAAGCAUGACACCAGCAAGGGCAAUAUUUACCUCCUGUCAGGAGGAAACCACUAGAAGUUUGAUUGAGGAAGUAGUUGUGAUUUUGCAAACACACCGUUUAUCUGUCGAAAGUAGCGGGUUUCAAUUAGAUUUCGGCGCAGACUCCAUGGCAAUAUUCAUUUAAAAGAGAAGCACACUUAAACGCGGGAGCCUUGCAAGAGCAACGUGAAUAACGGAGCCAGCAUGCUUCUAACUACCGAACUUGGGGUCGCAUUUACAUUUCUAGUUCCCAAGCAUUGCCUGCAGUCCUGAGGAAUUGUGUUUUGCAGCCUUCUUUGUAAUUCUACGUGGAUGGGAUUUCUACGCACAGUUUUCUUGCAAACAUUUAUUUUCUUGCACGUUAUAGAGGACUUCCUGUACAGAAAAACGACUUUAGACAGGGUUGUUAGGUUUCAAGUUAACAAAAAGAAACACUUUUAUUGUCAAUAUUAAUGGAAAAGCUCGAUUUUUUUUUACGAGUUUGGUUUUAGCAGCGUGCAUAGAUCAAAAGCAGCCUGGUUUGAUUUCCAAAUAUUCUCUGGAGCUUAGACAAUUACCUGUAAUUUUGCUUUCAAAGACACAACACAAAAAUGUUAGUUACGUAAAUGUUAAUGCCAUUGCGGGGUGAGGGUAGGGGCGGGCAGAACCCUCUACCUGUUUCUGCAGCGUCAGAUUCUAAUAAACUUUUCCCACGGAA